AAAAAAGUAAUAGAUGCUGGAACUUGGAAGAGGAGGUUAGUCAUUAAAAUUUGGAAAGUUGAUGAAUUUCACAAUAACAACAAAAGGAUACUGACGUAUUGGAAGGGGUUCAGAGAAGGGGCUCCUAGGAUGGUUCCAGGGAUUGAAGGGUUAUCUUAAGGAGAUACGUUAUCAUCUCUUGAAAAAAAAA